GGUCAAGUUAUUAAGGGUGCAGGGCGGAUGCCUUGGCACUAGGAGCCGAUGAAGGACGUGAUAAGCUGCGAUAAGCUUCGGGGAGUUGCACGUAAACUUUGAUCCGAAGAUUUCCGAAUGAGGAAACUCACUUAGAGUAAUGUCUAAGUAUCAUUAAGUGAAUACAUAGCUUAAUGAGGGGAACUCAGGGAACUGAAACAUCUAAGUACCUGAAGGAAGAGAAAGAAAUUCGAUUCCGUAAGUAGCGGCGAGCGAACGCGGAUUAGCCCAAACCAAUAAAGUUUUCUUUAUUGGGGUUGCGGACAUAUCAUAACGAAGAGGUAUCGUAAUUGAAGAGGUUUGGAAAGACCCACCACAGAAGGUAAUAGUCCUGUAUGUUAAACGAGAAGACUUCAGAUAUGAUCCAGAGUACCACGGGACACGUGAAACCCUGUGGGAAGCAGGAGGGACCACCCUCCAAGGCUAAAUACUACCUAGUGACCGAUAGCGUAUAGUACCGUGAGGGAAAGGUGAAAAGAACCCCGGGAGGGGAGUGAAAUAGAACCUGAAACCCUGCACUUACAAGCUGUGGAAGCACAUUUCUUGUGUGACCGCGUACUUUUUGUAGAACGGGCCAACGAGUUACGUUAAGUAGCAAGGUUAAGCACUUAAGGUGUGGAGCCGUAGCGAAAGCGAGUUUUAACUGAGCGUUCAGUUACUUGACGUAGACCCGAAACCGGGCGACCUACCCAUGAGCAGGAUGAAGCGAAAGUAAAAUUUCGUGGAGGUCCGAACCCACG
rnacentral:rRNA from 1 species